UGCCAACUUUCAAGUGUGCAGUCAAAGCCCUCUUUGACUACAAGGCCCAGAGGGAGGACGAGCUGACCUUCACCAAGAGCGCCAUCAUCCAGAAUGUGGAGAAGCAAGAGGGAGGCUGGUGGCGAGGGGACUACGGAGGGAAGAAGCAGCUGUGGUUCCCAUCAAACUACGUGGAAGAGAUGGUCAACCCCGUGGCCCUGGAGCCGGAGAGGGAGCACUUGGACGAGAACAGCCCCCUAGGGGACUUGCUACGGGGGGUCUUGGAUGUGCCGGCUUGUCAGAUUGCCAUCCGUCCUGAGGGCAAGAACAACCGGCUCUUCGUCUUCUCCAUCAGCAUGGCGUCGGUGGCCCACUGGUCCCUGGAUGUUGCUGCCGACUCACAGGAGGAGCUGCAGGACUGGGUGAAAAAGAUCCGUGAAGUGGCCCAGACAGCAGACGCCAGGGUGAGAUUCUGCUGGAACCUUCUGGGGGGCAGUGUGUGGGCCUGUCAGGCAGCUGAGGCCUCCAGCUCCCAGCACAGGCCCCCUCAGAGCAGUGGGGCAGCCGAUGGCCUAUGCCAGAUAGGCCACAGCCCCUGCCUUAGCUAGGGAUUGAGAAGAAACAGACACAUAAGAUGCAAUGUGGUGUGUUUAGGUUGUGUUGAGUUUGAGAUACUGAUGGGUCGUUGAAGUGGGUCUGCUUAGUGGGCAGUUGGAUACACAAGACCAGAGCUAAGAGGAGAAGUCCUGGGCUGGAAGCAGGAGUGGAGUGGGGGCUGAGGCAUAGAAGGGAUGAGGUGGUGUCGCAUAGGAAGAUAACUUGGGAUGGAUUGAGAAGCUCCAUAUGAGAAGGCAUGGGCGAGGAAAGGAGCCCAGGAAAGGCAGGUCAGACAGACUGCAGGCCACUGGUGAGGCAGAGGGUCUGCUGUGUUGAGAGCUACAGAGGUAAAGACAGGAACGAUAAGAACUUGCAAGUGCCCUUUGGAUUCAGCAGCAGCUAAUAGCCCUUGUGAGACUUUUGAGCUGCAUCAGCAGUAUGGCUGGCAUUAGAUGGCAGUGGGCAGCAGGGAGUCUGGAAUGGCAAAAGCAGAGCCUUUGUAGGGCCU
rnacentral:sRNA from 1 species